rnacentral:rRNA from 1 species
UACGAAGGGGGCUAGCGUUGCUCGGAAUCACUGGGCGUAAAGCGCACGUAGGCGGAUUGUUAAGUCAGGGGUGAAAUCCUGGAGCUCAACUCCAGAACUGCCUUUGAUACUGAGGAUCUUGAGUUCGGGAGAGGUGAGUGGAACUGCGAGUGUAGAGGUGAAAUUCGUAGAUAUUCGCAAGAACACCAGUGGCGAAGGCGGCUCGCUGGCCCGAUACUGACGCUGAGGCACGAAAGCGUGGGGAGCAAACAGG